CAUUUCCAUAUCACAGUACUUCACUCCCAUAACAUUCGCAAAAAAACAAGGAAGCUACCUUUCUCACUACCCACUUCGAAGAACAAUACAAUACAACACUCUAGAAAGAAGUAGAAACCUCUCUCGUUCACCUUUUCCAAAUGCAUCACCAACACCAACAACAAGACUCCUCAUUAGAAUCCGACCCUCAGCUCCCAGCCAUCAGAAUCCACCACCCUGCUUCUCCACGCCACCAUUCCUCCGGCGUGGGGGCCACUCCCACCCCUACCGCCGGUGCCCGCCGCAAGAUCGGCGUCGCCGUCGAUCUCUCCGACGAGUCUGCUUACGCUGUACGCUGGGCCGUCCACCACUACCUCCGACCCGGUGACGCCGUCAUCCUCCUCCACGUCAGCCCCACCUCCGUCCUCUUCGGCGCCGACUGGGGCUCCAUCGACCUCUCCAUUUCCCCUUCCGACUUCGACCGCCACCCCGAUGAAGUAACCGCCACCGCCACCACCACCACCACGUCGUCUUCUUCCUCCAACAAUCAGAAGAAGUUGGAGGACGAUUUCGACGCCUUCACCGCUUCCAAAUCCGCCGAUCUGGCGAGGCCGCUCAAGGAGGCGCAGAUCCCCUACAAGAUCCACAUCGUGAAGGAUCACGACAUGAAGGAGAGGCUUUGCCUCGAGGUCGAGAGGCUCGGACUCAGUGCUGUCAUCAUGGGAAGCCGGGGAUUCGGCGCCGUUCGCCGCGGCAACGACGACGGCAGGCUCGGCAGCGUCAGCGAUUACUGCGUCCACCACUGCGUCUGUCCCGUCGUCGUCGUCCGCUAUCCCGAAGAUAAGGACGCCGUCGCCGAAGCUGUCCUCUCCGUCAAGGAAGGGGAGGAGGACGGUGAGGCUGUGAUCAAGACUGUCCCCAUUGAAGCUGUCCAUGAGAAAGACUUUUGCAUCAGGUAUGGAGGAGGAGUAGUCGCUGCGGGUAAUGGGGAUGGCUAAGUUUAAUUCAACUUCUUAUGCUUAGAAGGAACUUCAAGUCAUGGGGUGAUUUUCUCUACCGCAGCCUACUUUUGUGUUGCAGAUAGCAUGAAGGCAUCUGAUUCAACUGGCAUUAGUUGACACACUGAGAAGUUCGUGAAUGUUCUUGGUUGCUGAAACCUUUGCUACAAAGGCAGAUUGUAGAGUGGUUUCUCUGUCUGUACCUUUUGUCAAAAGAUUCUCGCAUGUAUGAACUUUGAGAAGAUUUGUGAAUGAUAUUUGUAUGGCUGUUGAAGUCUUUGUGGAUUUUUGUUAUGAACUUAUGCUUUAAGAAAAAAAAAAAUGUCACUGCAUUGUGAUGGA